rnacentral:rRNA from 1 species
GACGUAGGGCGCGAGCGUUGUCCGGAUUUAUUGGGCGUAAAGAGCUCGUAGGCGGCUUGUUGCGUCGACCGUGAAAACCCGGGGCUCAACUUCGGGCUUGCGGUCGAUACGGGCGGGCUAGAGUUCGGUAGGGGAGAUCGGAAUUCCUGGUGUAGCGGUGAAAUGCGCAGAUAUCAGGAGGAACACCGGUGGCGAAGGCGGAUCUCUGGGCCAUUACUGACGCUGAGGAGCGAAAGCGUGGGGAGCGAACAGG